rnacentral:misc_RNA from 1 species
GGUCACACAGCAGAAAUGUUAAACUUAUUAUAUGUCCUCCAAACAGAGAGGUUUAAGCCGAGGUAUUAUAUUGCUGCUGCUACUGAUAAUAUGAGUCUCCAAAAAGCACACGUGUUUGAGGAUUCCUUGCUCGGUAAGGAAGCGCCUGAGGAAGUAGGGGGAGCUGAAUUCAUGCAGAUAUAUCGAAGUCGAGAGGUUGGUCAAUCGUAUAUAACCUCAGUUGGAACCACAUUGGUUGCAAUUGCACAUGCGUUAUGGUUAAUGAUCAAGACCAGACCCCAAGUGAUUCUGUGCAAUGGCCCUGGAACGUGUAUUCCACUAUGUGUAAUUGCUUUCCUUUUCAAGGUUUUGGGAAUUAGGUGGUCAUCAAUUUUCUAUGUCGAGAGCAUUGCAAGAGUCAGGAAGCUGUCUUUAAGCGGUUUACUUCUUUACAAGCUACACAUGGCAGAUCAGUUAUUCGUGCAAUGGCCACAACUAAAAGAGAAGUAUCCGCGAGCUCAUUAUGUUGGUCGUCUUAUGUAAUAUCAGUUUCUGAUCUAUUACAGUGAGGUACGUAGUACUCGAGCUCUCUUAAUGCGUUUGAAGAGUUCUAAAAAUGGAUGUAAAGGGUCUUCCUUUGAAAGAGAAUAUCAUUGUUAUCUUCUUGAGGCAGGGAAAGAAAUUAAUGAUC